rnacentral:piRNA from 1 species
UGAGAAGCUGUCUGUCCUCCUCAGGUAC